rnacentral:rRNA from 1 species
UACGGAGGGUGCGAGCGUUGUUCGGAAUCACUGGGCGUAAAGGGCGUGUAGGCGGUCCGCUAAGUCUGAUGUGAAAGCCCGGGGCUCACCCCCGGAAGUGCAUUGGAAACUGGCGGACUCGAGUCCCGGAGAGGAGAGUGGAAUUCCUGGUGUAGCGGUGAAAUGCGUAGAUAUCAGGAAGAACACCGAUGGCGAAGGCAGUUCUCUGGGCCGUAACUGACGCUGAGGAGCGAAAGCGUGGGGAGCGAACAGG